AACGCACGAGACCUGCGGACCUGCGGAGGGAUCAUUAAUGAGAAGCUGCCCCUCGUGGGUAGACCUCCCACCCUCUGUGAACUUACCUCUGUUGCUUUGGCAGGCCCGUCCUCUGGACCGCCGGCUUCGGCUGGCCCGUGCCUGCCAGAGGAUUCCAAACCCUGUCUGUCAGUGUUGUCUGAGUCUAUAUGAAAUCGUUAAAACUUUUAACAACGGAUCUCUAGAUCGGAAGAGCACACG
rnacentral:misc_RNA from 1 species